rnacentral:rRNA from 1 species
UACGCAGGGUGCAAGCGUUACUCGGAAUUACUGGGCGUAAAGCGUGCGUAGGUGGUUUGUUAAGUCUGUUGUGAAAGCCCCGGGCUCAACCUGGGAAUGGCAAUGGAUACUGGCAAGCUAGAGUGCGGUAGAGGGUAGUGGAAUUCCCGGUGUAGCGGUGAAAUGCGUAGAGAUCGGGAGGAACACCAGUGGCGAAGGCGGCUACCUGGACCAGCACUGACACUGAGGCACGAAAGCGUGGGGAGCAAACAGG